GCCGAGGUGGCGGAAUUGGUAGACGCGUAAGGCUCAGAUCCUUAUGGAUUUUAUAUCCUUGCCGGUUCGAAUCCGGCCCUCGGCA
rnacentral:tRNA from 1 species